rnacentral:lncRNA from 1 species
CACAGAAUGAAAACGCGAGAACAUUCAACCCAAAUCAUAAAGCCAAACCCUAACCCCCAAAUCAAUUUCGAACCUUUCUACAAAUUGAAGCCAAAAUCCAUCAUACAGAAGCCAAAAGCGUGAGAACGAUGAACCACAACCUAAAAGUCUCAAACCCAAACCCUACCCCUACCCCUAAAUCAGUUUCAAGCCUCCAUCGGCGGCCUCCCAAAAUCUGACUAAUGAGUGCAAGUUUUUUUUAUUGCAUUAGAGAAGGCGUGCACAUGGAUGUCGGAAAUGAAGGUAAAUUUGGUUCAGAUUUUGAAAUCUGUGCAUUGAUGUAGUGUUACGAGCAUUCUUGUACUAGCUUUCUUCUAUUAACAUUAUUGUUUGCGUUAAUUAGUAUUAUUUCGUAACAUUUAACUCCUGAAUUAGUUUUUGUAAUCCAGUAAAGAAAAUAACUUAACAAACUUCUCAGUCUUGGAGUAGAUUGGGUGGCAUUAAUUAUAGUAACGUAAGAGUGGACAAGAUCAAUUCGUUUUUAGAAACUUAGAAGGUCUUGUUUCUUACACUUGGAGCAAAUGACUAACUGAAAUUAUAAUGAAUUUUGAGACUCGUGAUCUAAUGAAGAAUAUUAUCUGGGAAACUUGUUGUGUUGUUGAAUCAUUAACAUAUUGUUCUAAUUUUUUUUAUUUUUUAUUUUUAUGUUGUUAUUUAUAUAUGUUGGUGAACUAGUUAAUUUGAUACAAAGCACUUCUAAUUGAACACAUUUACCAUAAUUUUAAAAUA